GAACCAUCAAAAAUGGUGAUAACUAGUACUUCCUCUGUUACUUGUUCUACUGUUUUUGAUAUUGGAAAUUACAAGACUAAGCUAUUGAAAAUCGAGCCACAAACAUGUAGCAAACACAAUUCUCCUCCAAAAUCUCUGUUAAUUGGGACCCCAUCAGAAGCAGGAAACUUCCCAGUAUUGAUAUUUCUCCAUGGCUAUCUUCUUUACAAUUCUUUCUAUUCACAACUUAUUCAACAUCUCUCUUCUCAUGGCUUCAUUGUUGUUGCUCCUCAGUUAUAUUUAGUGGAAGGAGCAG
rnacentral:misc_RNA from 1 species